rnacentral:rRNA from 1 species
GAUGAACGCUGGCGGCGUGCCUAAUACAUGCAAGUCGAGCGAACAGACGAGGAGCUUGCUCCUCUGACGUUAGCGGCGGACGGGUGAGUAACACGUGGAUAACCUACCUAUAAUACUGGGAUAACUUCGGGAAACCGGAGCUAAUACCGGAUAAUAUAUUGAACCGCAUGGUUCAAUAGUGAAAGACGGUUUUGCUGUCACUUUUAGAUGGAGUCGCGUCGCAUUAGCUAGUUGGUAAGGUAACGGCUUACCAAGGCAACGAUGCGUAGCCGACCUGAGAGGGUGAUCGGCCACACUGGAACUGAGACACGGUCCAGACUCCUACGGGAGGCAGCAGUAGGGAAUCUUCCGCAAUGGGCGAAAGCCUGACGGAGCAACGCCGCGUGAGUGAUGAAGGUCUUCGGAUCGUAAAACUCUGUUAUUAGGGAAGAACAAAUGUGUAAGUAACUAUGCACGUCUUGACGGUACCUAAUCAGAAAGCCACGGCUAACUACGUG